GACGAACGCUGGCGGCGUGCUUAACACAUGCAAGUCGAACGAAGAGCGAUGGAAGCUUGCUUCUAUCAAUCUUAGUGGCGAACGGGUGAGUAACGCGUAAUCAACCUGCCCUUCAGAGGGGGACAACAGUUGGAAACGACUGCUAAUACCGCAUACGAUCUAAUCUCGGCAUCGAGGAUAGAUGAAAGGUGGCCUCUACAUGUAAGCUAUCACUGAAGGAGGGGAUUGCGUCUGAUUAGCUAGUUGGAGGGGUAACGGCCCACCAAGGCGAUGAUCAGUAGCCGGUCUGAGAGGAUGAACGGCCACAUUGGGACGGAGACACGGCCCAGACUCCUACGGGAGGCAGCAGUGGGGAAUCUUCCGCAAUGGACGAAAGUCUGACGGAGCAACGCCGCGUGAGUGAUGACGGCCGUCGGGUUGUAAAGCUCUGUUAAUCGGGACGAAAGGCCUUCUUGCGAAUAGUGAGAAGGAUUGACGGUACCGGAAUAGAAAGCCACGGCUAACUACGUG
rnacentral:rRNA from 1 species